rnacentral:rRNA from 1 species
AGCGAACGCUGGCGGCAGGCCUAACACAUGCGAGUCGAACGGAUCCUUCGGGAUUAGUGGCGGACGGGUGAGUAACACGUGGGAACGUGCCCUUUGGUUCGGAACAACUCAGGGAAACUUGAGCUAAUACCGGAUGUGCCCUUCGGGGGAAAGAUUUAUCGCCAUUGGAGCGGCCCGCGUCUGAUUAGCUAGUUGGUGAGGUAAAGGCUCACCAAGGCGACGAUCAGUAGCUGGUCUGAGAGGAUGAUCAGCCACAUUGGGACUGAGACACGGCCCAAACUCCUACGGGAGGCAGCAGUGGGGAAUCUUGCGCAAUGGGCGAAAGCCUGACGCAGCCAUGCCGCGUGAAUGAUGAAGGUCUUAGGAUUGUAAAAUUCUUUCACCGGGGACGAUAAUGACGGUACCCGGAGAAGAAGCCCCGGCUAACUUCGUGCCAGCCGCCGCUGUAAAAC